GCACCGUUGGUGAAGGGGUAUCAUAGUUGCCUUCCAUGAGAAUAGAUAGCAACUGGGAAGGGUUCGAGUCCCUUACGGCGCA
rnacentral:tRNA from 1 species